AUAUUAUUUAUAUCGUAACUCAGUGUUCAUUUUAAUAGAUUAAUGAUUUUACUUAUUAUAACUGAAUAACUUUAAUUGUACCUAUUGUAAAUUUGUAAUGAAAGUCCCAUAAGUGUCUUACCACAUGAAAAAUUCAAAACGAGACCACAUAUAUUUUUAUUUUCAAAGAUGUUUUUUUCUCUCACAUAACCGCAAAAUACAAGCGUUAAGAGUGAUUAUUGCAUCACUUGGAGACUCUCUUCAACAAUAUUACUAAUUUUACGACGGGCUAUCAAUACUUGCCCGUCCUUUCUCACAAUGUCGCUUGUGGCCUCCUUCACUGCUCCAAUUAUAUAGCUUGUCAGGGUCAAUUCGACCCGGUAGUUUACAGUCACGAGACAAUGAAUAAUGAGUGAGAAGCAUGUUGACCAUCAUUCUUACUGAGUCGGGAUGCCAAUGAAUACCAUCACUGCAUUGAUGAUUCAUUUGACUAAUCAUACUUCCAUGAAGAUCCAAGACAUCAUAUCCAUAAUUUGCAGCCACUUUUGAUAAAAAAUAAUAAUUAAAUUUUGUGAAAAAGAAUUAUCAUAAAUAAUAUUACCCUUUGCGACAUAAUUAUUAGCCUGGUGAUGGUAGUAAAUUAUAUAUUAAACAAAGUAGAUUAUAAUUAAAUUGAUGAAAUAUACAGUUAAUUAUAAGUAGACAA
rnacentral:lncRNA from 1 species